rnacentral:sRNA from 1 species
GUUUGGUCUCCUAUGGGGGAAGCGUUCCAGUGAAUGGUCCUCGAAUCCCAUACUUACAACAAGAAGCGGGAACACAAAUCUUCACCUCUUCACACCCCUUGUUCUUAUACCACUCGGUGUCCUCUAACUUGUAGUUAUAACCAUUCUCCAAUACCCCCGCAUCUUGGUCAGGCUUGAAACCUCCGAUCGAGUCAAAGUAUUCUUGGUGAAGCUUGUGAGACCCUUUAAGUACGCACAGUCCUCCAUCAGAAGGCCCAUUAGGAGCGAGGUUGGCGAUACCUUGAUAUAACUCGAAUCGGUUGAUGUUUCGUGGGUUCUGAUCAAUAUCUAACAAGAUGACAAAGUCAAUCAAGUGGAUGAGGUCAUGCAAGAAGAGAGAAGUUGACUGACGAGGCCAAGGUGCGGUAGGCUUUAUGUCCGUACGGCCCGUUUGGUCAUUAAUAGGUAAGGAAGCGUUCAUGCCAUCAAAAGAUACGAUCAAAUCAUCUGUCUCCCAAAUCUCCUCGAAGAUCUUCCUAAUACCAGGGUCCCUAUAUUACUACCCUUCGUGGUUGACAGAAUAUCUGUUGUACAAGCCUCCACUUGGAAUAGAAAAAAGCCAUCAGCACGACGCAACUCUCGACAAUAGCAUACCCAUCUGUGGGUGCAACUUACGUUGUGCUGUAAGACUCUGGAACAAUGCCCGGAACUACGACGUAACCAUCACGCUCGAGGUCGUUGAGGAAAGUCGGCCUAGUCAUUGUUGUUAUCGCCGAUCGUGAGGAUGGAGAGUUGGCUAUGCGUUUCAAGGGGGAAAAGUGAAAAUUGGCAGUAUAUUGAAUAACAAAGUCGCUGGAGUUCGAUCUUAUAUUAUAUCGAAAGGAUAAUAACAAUGUCCCCCACUCUGACCCACUUGGUUAAUCAGCAGAUGAAAGUGGGGGAGAUUUAGAAGCCAUUCUGCUGUUGGAUUGUCAUGUGCUUGACCAUGAAUUAUCUAUUCCUCCGGG